rnacentral:rRNA from 1 species
GACGAACCGUGCGAACGUUAUUCGGAAUCACUGGGCUUAAAGCGCGUGUAGGCGGGCCGGCACGUCGGUCGCUGAAAUCCCCCGGCUCAACCGGGGAAGCGGCGACCGCGAUACGACCGGCCUGGAGGGGCGUAGGGGGAUCGGGAACUUCCGGUGGAGCGGUGAAAUGCGUUGAGAUCGGAGGAACGCCGUGGCGAAAGCGCCGGUCCUGGACGCC